AGAGUUUGAUUCUGGCUCAGGAUGAACGCUAGCGACAGGCCUAACACAUGCAAGUCAGGGGUAACAGGGAGCUUGCUCCGCUGACGACCGGCGCACGGGUGAGUAACGCGUAUGCACCUGCCUAUUACAGGGGGAUAACCCGGAGAAAUCCGGAUUAAUACCGCAUAAUACUAUGGAUGGCAUCAUUUAAUAGUUAAAGAUUUAUUGGUAAUAGAUGGGCAUGCGUUCCAUUAUUAGUUGGUGAGGUAACGGCUCACCAAGACGUCGAUGGAUAGGGGUUCUGAGAGGAAGGCCCCCACACUGGUACUGAGACACGGACCAGACUCCUACGGGAGGCAGCAGUGAGGAAUAUGGUCAAUGGGCGAGAGCCUGAACCAGCCAAGUCGCGUGCAGGAUGACUGCCUUAUGGGUGUAAACUGCUUUUAUACAGGAAUAACAACAGUCACGUGUGACUGGAUGAAUGUACUGUAGAAUAAGGAUCGGCUAA
rnacentral:rRNA from 1 species